GAGCAGCUGCUCUUUCCUGUUGAACUCGGGAAAGAUCUCUGCUGUCCUGAAGCAUCUGAGCCUGAGGAGUUCGGACAACUGCCACAUCGCACGAGUGGCCUGAAGUCACUUUGAACGGUGUUCCUAGUGUGCAGUCAUGACUCCCUUUACAUGCUAUGCUUGCCAGGAUCCUUGCAACAAAAGUGGUACCCUUCACUAAGAACUUUAGAAAGCCAAAAUAACUUUGGUGCAAAACCUUCCAGGAUGUCCAA